rnacentral:rRNA from 1 species
GACGAACGCUGGCGGCGUGCCUAAUACAUGCAAGUAGAACGCACAGUUUAUACCGUAGCUUGCUACACCAUAGACUGUGAGUUGCGAACGGGUGAGUAACGCGUAGGUAACCUGCCUGGUAGCGGGGGAUAACUAUUGGAAACGAUAGCUAAUACCGCAUAAUAUUGAUUAUUGCAUGAUAAUUGAUUGAAAGAUGCUAUUGCAUCACUACCAGAUGGACCUGCGUUGUAUUAGCUAGUAGGUGAGGUAACGGCUCACCUAGGCGACGAUACAUAGCCGAACUGGGAGGGUGGUCCGCCACACUGGGAAUGAGACACGGCCCAGACUCCCACGGGAGGCAACCGUAAGGGAACCUCCGGCAUUGACGAAAGUCUGAACGGGCAAAGCCGCGUGAGGGGAGGAGGGUUUCGGGUCGUAAAGCCCUGGUUUAAAGGGAAAACCGGUUUUGGAGGGGAAAGUUCACACCGUGACGGUAACUUACCAGAAAGGGACGGCUAACUACGUG